CAGUCGCCGCGGUAAUACGGAGGGGGCUAGCGUUGUUCGGAAUUACUGGGCGUAAAGCGCACGUAGGCGGACCGGAAAGUCAGAGGUGAAAUCCCAGGGCUCAACCUUGGAACUGCCUUUGAAACUCCUGGUCUUGAGGUCGAGAGAGGUGAGUGGAAUUCCGAGUGUAGAGGUGAAAUUCGUAGAUAUUCGGAGGAACACCAGUGGCGAAGGCGGCUCACUGGCUCGAUACUGACGCUGAGGUGCGAAAGCGUGGGGAGCAAACAGGAUUAGAUACCCCUGUAGUCCCUGUCUCUUAUAA
rnacentral:rRNA from 1 species